rnacentral:rRNA from 1 species
CAGUCGCCGCAGUAAUACGGAGGGAGCUAGCGUUGUUCGGAAUUACUGGGCGUAAAGCGCACGUAGGCGGAUCGAUCAGUCAGGGGUGAAAUCCCAGGGCUCAACCCUGGAACUGCCUUUGAUACUGUCGAUCUGGAGUAUGGAAGAGGUGAGUGGAAUUCCGAGUGUAGAGGUGAAAUUCGUAGAUAUUCGGAGGAACACCAGUGGCGAAGGCGGCUCACUGGUCCAUUACUGACGCUGAGGUGCGAAAGCGUGGGGAGCAAACAGGAUUAGAUACCCCAGUAGUCCCUGUCUCUUAUAA